AAAGUAGGGUUGAUAGUUUUUACCAUUACCAGUAAAGUUAACAUGAAUUGUAUAACUGUAACAGAAGCAGAUGUAUCAGUUCUCCAAUUCCCAUAAGGUUUCUAUGGCAUUCCUCCUAAUUAGAACUCUAUUACUAACCCUGGAGGUGUGGGAAGGGCAACUUACCCUUUAUUUUUAGUACAAACCAUGUUGUCAGCCUUUAUGAACCCUCAGCAGAGAUGGCAAGACUAUAUAUAUCAGGGAUAGUGGCCUUCCAUAUAUUGAAUUGCAGCUAUUUGCAUUGUAUUGACAGGCAUCAGACUAUAACCAUUCUACCGUUCUCCUUUCAUUACUAUAGGAGCCACCUUUAAUUCUGGCUGCACAAAUUUGUAAAAUCAAAUUAUUCUGCCGAUUACUGUAGAAGACAUUUCUUUUUUUUAAUUCAUGCAGAAUGCCAUACUAGUAUUUAGCCAACAUGAUGUCAGCAUUGACAUCAUAGCCAACCCCAUUCCCACCUCCAGCCACUGCCCAAAACUCUGUCCAGAACAUCUAUAUCUUGACACCGGCCUCCUACAUCUAUUUUUCAUUCUAACAAAGCAUUUAAUUCCCUAGAUUUCAGGCACAGCUGCAAAUUUUAUUCAUGCAAAUAAAAAAUUACAGAUGUCUUUGUUGAAAAUGACAGCAACACAAUCACCAAGGGUAAAGAUGGGACUCGCCUAUCACAAAUCACAAGUCAGUAAUUGCAGUAACAGGGAUGAGACGGAGCAGGAGCCUGAUUUAUGAGGUCUAUGGGUUCAUACACUGAGGCUUCAAUAAUGGCUGCUCCAGUUACACAUGUUGUUUAAGAAAGUCCGGAGGUCAAGAGUUUUAGCUUCGGUUUCAUCAUUUAUUGAUGCAACACUUGAAAAUAUUAUAUAAAACAGUAGGAUUGGAGGACCAUGUUUACAAGAGCGUGAGAAAGAUCAGACACAUAAGGGUGUUGAAAAGAAUUGGUAAUGGUUCUUUAUUAGUACAUUGCCAAAUUGCGUCAGAGAGGCUUCUAUUGUACAGGGUGGUCAUUAGGAACCAAUUUAAGGUUAGGAGGGAAGGUCGGAGUUGGCACUAGUGAGCUAGGUAUGUUUGGCCCUUGUGCCAAAACUUUAUGAUACUAAAAGGAUUCUGGAGAUCCUGCUAAAUGCUGUUUAAAAUAAAAGUUAGUAAGCCAUUAAUAAAUGUAUGCCUCUUUACCGAGAGGAUGACAAAUAUGGAACAUCUUAAGUAUCUCUCCACAUUGAAACUGCUGGUAGACAAAGGGUUAACUAAGGCGGUGCACCAAAAACUUCCACAGGGCUAAAGCUUUGGACCAGCGGCCAGGUAAUGAUGUGUUUUAACAAAGGCCCACCUCUAACAAAAGCAGAAUUCCUCGUUUAGAAGAAUUUAAGUAAAAAGAAAAAAAAAAAAGUUACCCUGUGGCUCCUAUGAAGCUUUUUUGCAGCCCAUACAAAAUCAGGACUGAGUAGCCUGUGGAGCCAAAUGUGUCAAGGAAAAAGAGAUACCCUCAGGGUUUUGGAGAUUGUAAUGAUUGGAGCCACCACAUAAAGGUACUUGUAAAUCACAGAGACCAGAGCAAUAGCAGGCUCCUAUAAAAGAGGCAGUGUCACUCUAAACAGCAGCUCUGUCUGCAAGAGGUUCUGCAGCUACUGGGAUACUUUACCCAUAUGAUGAAAAGGAUAAGUAGCCACUUCUGAAUGUGUGGGGCAAGGGAAGCUCUGCUGGACACCAGAUAGUGAACCAGUAAAUCAUUUAUCAUUUAAACCUCCCCCAGUAGGAAAAAUGCACUACUGGCCCUUAUCUUGGCUCCAACAGAAUAAACAACCUACAUAUACAACUGAUAUAAUGUACAGAACCACUCAUGCCUGCCAGUGGCAGCCCCACAACCCAACAUGCCGGUCACACAGCAAGAAGGAAAAGAAAUCAUACUUUGCAAUCACACAAAUUAUUUCUAGAUAGAAUGAUUUGUGAGUAGUACUAAUUCAUAGGGUACAUAGCAACUACUGAAUUGUGUCUAUCAACGGGAUCUAGUGUGCCAAGAUUGCUUUUGCUUCAGUUAUUAAUGAUACUAAGGGUAGGAUCACACCGGGCGAUUCGGGGAGAUUUAGUGUGCUUUAUCAUAGGCGUCUUUCCAUUAUAGCGGACGGGAAGACACACGAAGGCAGUUCGGGGACGUGGACUGACCCUAAGGGUCAGGCCGCACAGGGCAUUUUUUUGUGGCGACCAAUCUCCCCAAACGCCUUCCCUCACUCUGCGCCGGCUAAAAUGAAAAACGCCGGCGCUAAUCACACGCGGCGAUUCGUUUUCCGAAGUCGCCCAAAGUUUCCUCGUGAAUAGGCUUGGAGUUGUAUCUAUAUUGUUUGCAUGCAUUUGUAGAACAGGGGACGGGGCGAGGGAGUCGAGGAUUUAAUGAGUCUGUGACCCUGGGAUUCCUUGUAGGCACAGUCCUGUGCGCUGCAGUGUCUGGUUUCAGGAAACUCUGUGCUGUUAAACAUUAUUACUCACUUUCCUCAUGUGAGCGCAGAGCAGUUAGGGAGAGAUGUACUCAUAUCCUCACAGGUCCUACUCUAACCAAGGCAAUAGCUGCAUGUGGAAGGCAUCAGGGAAAGGCUAUGGACACAGUCGCUUCUCAGCACUAAAUAGGAAGGGUUAUACUGUAUAAGAAAGUUGUACUAGGGUGGGAGAUGCCAUAAUGACCAUCAACAUGGCUGUGAGUUUUCUAGAAUAUGGCAAAGAUGGGCAGUCCCUUCAGUGGUGAGGCUGGAGUUUAAUAUCUAAAGAUAAAGGUAGCGGUCUAAAAGCUUUACAAAUAAUGGGAAAGAAUGGGAAAUUGGGAAGCUGAUGAAUACUCCUCCCCACCAUGAAACAAAAUAAAACAGAGGAAAAGUAAAGAAAGAAUUGCCCAUCUGUUUGGGGUAUAGUGGGAAUUGUAGUCCAAAUACUGAAGGGCCACAGGUUGUUCUGGUGUUGUACUAAAUGCACAAGGGAAGCAGGAGUUGGGCCCAGGUAAUAUCAUCCAGAUGGAGGGAGCUGCAUCCACACACACAAAAGAUAUGAACGUCUGACUGCCAAAAGCUGCACUGAGAGAGAGAGAGGGGUCCAGCAACACAUGCUCUGGGUAGAGACAGGCAGGUUCUGGGGUAGGAACAGGCAGGAUCUGGGGUAGGAACAGGCAGGAUCUGGGGUAGGAGGAACAGGCAGGAUCUGGGGCCCAGCUGUGACAGAACUACAUCUCCCAGCAUCCCCACAGCAGCAAGACUGGAAGGUGCCAAGCAGCAGUGAAGAGCCCGGGGCUCCCGGCAAAGAAAGCAAAGAAGCCAUGGAUCCCCCCAUUGUCCGGCCACUCACCUCUGCGCGUCUGGGAGGUAGAAGUCCACAGAGAAACCAAAGAAGCUGCCACUUGCCCCCGUGUAAACUGCCGGCUGCUCCACUGCCAAGUUAAAUCCACGGACCGAGCUGAAGGUGAGCAGCGCGCACAGCACAGGGAACAAGAACGUGGCCACUAGCCCAGGGACACGGGAGCCUCGUGGGAGCUGCAUGACUUGGGGCGACUGUGGGUGCGUGUGGGAGAGACGGCCGGGGAUCUAGUAGGAUGCUAAGCGGACUUUCACAAGCUGAGAACUAUUCCAAUUGAGCAAAAAGCCCCUCCUAAAAGUAACGGCAGGGAGUUCCCUACAGAAAGAGGAGGGCUCGCAUACAGCCCGGGCACCCACCUCCUCUUUUUGUUCAAUGGAUUGAUCCCUUUUUCUGCUGUAUGGAUUUAAUUAGGGCCUACUUGUGUUUGCCUGCUCCCCUCUCUCGUUUUGGCUUUUAAUAAACUCCACUCUCCGCCCUUCUAACUCA